rnacentral:rRNA from 1 species
UACGGAGGGAGCUAGCGUUGUUCGGAAUUACUGGGCGUAAAGCGCACGUAGGCGGACUCUUAAGUCGGUGGUGAAAUCCUGGAGCUCAACUCCAGAACUGCCUUCGAUACUGGGAGUCUCGAGUCCGGGAGAGGUGAGUGGAACUGCGAGUGUAGAGGUGAAAUUCGUAGAUAUUCGCAAGAACACCAGUGGCGAAGGCGGCUCACUGGCCCGGUACUGACGCUGAGGUGCGAAAGCGUGGGGAGCAAACAGG